rnacentral:rRNA from 1 species
CCUACGGGGUGCAGCAGUGAGGAAUAUUGGUCAAUGGGCGGAAGCCUGAACCAGCCAAGUAGCGUGCAGGAUGACGGCCCUACGGGUUGUAAACUGCUUUUAUACGGGAAUAACGCGCCUUACGUGUAGGGCUUUGCAUGUACCGUAUGAAUAAGGACCGGCUAAAUACGUGCCAGCAGCCGCGGUAAUACGUAUGGUGCAAGCGUUAUCCGGAUUUACUGGGUGUAAAGGGAGCGCAGGCGGCGCGUUAAGCCUGGUGUGAAAGCCCGCGGCCCAACCGCGGGACUGCAUGGGGAACUGGCGCGCUGGAGUGCCGGAGGGGUAGGCGGAAUUCCUAGUGUAGCGGUGAAAUGCGUAGAUAUUAGGAGGAACACCAGUGGCGAAGGCGGCCUACUGGACGGUGACUGACGCUGAGGCUCGAAAGCGUGGGGAGCAAACAGGAUUAGAUACCCCUGUAGUC